rnacentral:rRNA from 1 species
UACAGAGGGUGCAAGCGUUGUUCGGAAUUAUUGGGCGUAAAGGGUGCGUAGGCGGUGCGGUAAGUCUGUUGUGAAAUCUCCGGGCUCAACUCGGAGUCUGCAACGGAAACUGUCGGGCUUGAGUAUGGGAGAGGUGAGUGGAAUUUCCGGUGUAGCGGUGAAAUGCGUAGAUAUCGGAAGGAACACCUGUGGCGAAAGCGGCUCACUGGACCAUUACUGACGCUGAGGCACGGAAGCUAGGGGAGCAAACAGG